rnacentral:rRNA from 1 species
UCUCUGAUGUUAGCGGCGGACGGGUGAGUAACACGUGGAUAACCUACCUAUAAGACUGGGAUAACUUCGGGAAACCGGAGCUAAUACCGGAUAAUAUUUUGAACCGCAUGGUUCAAAAGUGAAAGACGGUCUUGCUGUCACUUAUAGAUGGAUCCGCGCUGCAUUAGCUAGUUGGUAAGGUAACGGCUUACCAAGGCAACGAUGCAUAGCCGACCUGAGAGGGUGAUCGGCCACACUGGAACUGAGACACGGUCCAGACUCCUACGGGAGGCAGCAGUAGGGAAUCUUCCGCAAUGGGCGAAAGCCUGACGGAGCAACGCCGCGUGAGUGAUGAAGGUCUUCGGAUCGUAAAACUCUGUUAUUAGGGAAGAACAUAUGUGUAAGUAACUGUGCACAUCUUGACGGUACCUAAUCAGAAAGCCACGGCUAACUACGUGCCAGCAGCCGCGGUAAUACGUAGGUGGCAAGCGUUAUCCGGAAUUAUUGGGCGUAAAGCGCGCGUAGGCGGUUUUUUAAGUCUGAUGUGAAAGCCCACGGCUCAACCGUGGAGGGUCAUUGGAAACUGGAAAACUUGAGUGCAGAAGAGGAAAGUGGAAUUCCAUGUGUAGCGGUGAAAUGCGCAGAGAUAUGGAGGAACGCCAGUGGCGAAGGCGACUUUCUGGUCUGUAACUGACGCUGAUGUGCGAAAGCGUGGGGAUCAAACAGGAUUAGAUACCCUGGUAGUCCACGCCGUAAACGAUGAGUGCUAAGUGUUAGGGGGUUUCCGCCCCUUAGUGCUGCAGCUAACGCAUUAAGCACUCCGCCUG